AGUUUAUUAGUGUUGUUUUGAAAACAACGAAAAGAAUUUUUUCUAUAAACUU
rnacentral:tRNA from 1 species